rnacentral:rRNA from 1 species
CCUACGGGAGGCAGCAGUGAGGAAUAUUGGACAAUGGGCGCAAGCCUGAUCCAGCCAUGCCGCGUGCAGGAAGAAGGUCCUAUGGAUUGUAAACUGCUUUUAUACAGGAAGAAACACUUCUACGUGUAGAGAUGACGGUACUGUANGAAUAAGGUCG